rnacentral:rRNA from 1 species
CCCUUAGAUGUUCUGGGCCGCACGCGCGCUACACUGAUGCAUUCAACGAGUCUAUCCUUGACCGACAGGUCCGGGUAAUCUUUGAAUCUGCAUCGUGACGGGGAUAGAUUAUUGCAAUUAUUAAUCUUCAACGAGGAAUGCCUAGUAGGCGCAAGUCAUCAGCUUGCGUCGAUUACGUCCCUGCCCUUUGUACACACCGCCCGUCGCUCCUACCGAUUGGGUGUGCUGGUGAAAUGUUCGGAUCGGCCGUUUGUCGCGGUUUCCGCGUCAUGUGGCUGAGAAGUUCAUUAAACCCUCCCACCUAGAGGAAGGAGAAGUCGUAACA